GAUCAUUCUCGUUGAAGAGAAAUUAUGCUCGUUAUUGACUUUAAUGCAUGGCUAUAAGCACGUGAAUCAUGAGCGCCGACGACGACGUUGAUAACGUUGAUCAAUAAGAGUUAGACAGUGUUUUAUGUACUGAACAAGUUGCAAACGAUUGUUGAAAUUCAUAUUCCAUUGGAAUCCUACAGUGGCAGUACGGCCCUACGAACGAACGAUUUGUCUCUGAAUCGAGACAGUAAUAUCAAUAUGCUGCCCUGUUGAAGUGUUAGAAAACCUACGGAGAUUAAUCCAAUCAAGUUGAUGAUGCCAAUUCACUUCAGGAAACAAAUCAAGAUGAACUAAAUGGACUUGAAUUAAUAGACCUUGAGGUCAGCAAUCUGUUUGGAAAAAUUGUUUUGAAAAAUAAAGUCUAAGAUGUUGCUAUUUCCGUAGAGCAAGUAAUAUAAUGACUUUAAAAAAGUUAUCUGUUAUGGCAUGUCGAAAUACAAUUUAUCGUUUUACAACCAUUGAAA